rnacentral:misc_RNA from 1 species
UUAAGUUCAGCGGGUAUCCCUACCUGAUCCGAGGUCAACCUUGAUAAAAUUGGGGGUUGCUGGCCAGCACACACCCGGGUCUCCAGAAGCGAGAGUAUUACUACGCUUGAAGCCGAAUGGCGCCGCCACUGAUUUUGAGGCCCGCCGGAACCGGCGAGGCCCAAUACCAAGCAGAGCUUGAGGGUUGUAAUGACGCUCGA